rnacentral:rRNA from 1 species
CGCCUUUAGUUAAAAUAUUAAAGGUCCCUUCUGCCCUAUGAUAAUUUAAAUGGCCGCGGUACCCUGACCGUGCAAAGGUAGCAUAAUAAUUUGCCCCCUAAUUAGGGGCUGGAAUGAAUGAAUUCAUGAGAGUCCAACUGUUUCAUUUUUACAUAUAAAAACUAUCCUUGAAGUGAAGAGACUUCAAUUCUAUAAAAAGACAAAAAGACCCUAUUGAGCUUUAUCUAAUAUAAGUACCUAGUUAAAAUCUUAAACUUCCCCUUAAAAUAGAUUUUGUUGGGGCGACAUAAGAAGAAUAAAUCUUCUUUUCUAUUAAAGGCCACCCUCCAGAUUAAUGAUCCGCCAACAGCGAUUAAAGAAACCAGCUACCAUAGGGAUAACAGGCUAAUCUUCCUUGAGAGCCCAAAUUGACAGGAAGGUUUGGCACCUCGAUGUUGGCUUAAGGAAACUAAAAGAUGCAAAAGUCUUUUGAGUGGGUUUGUUCAACCUUUAAUACCUU